UACAGAGGUCUCAAGCGUUGUUCGGAUUCAUUGGGCGUAAAGGGUGCGUAGGCGGCGCGGUAAGUCGGGUGUGAAAUCUCGGAGCUUAACUCCGAAACUGCAUUCGAUACUGCCGUGCUUGAGGACUGGAGAGGAGACUGGAAUUUACGGUGUAGCGGUGAAAUGCGUAGAUAUCGUAAGGAAGACCAGUGGCGAAGGCGGGGUCUCCUGGACAGUUCCUGACGCUGAGGCACGAAGGCCAGGGGAGCAAACGGG
rnacentral:rRNA from 1 species